rnacentral:rRNA from 1 species
UACGGAGGAUGCAAGCGUUAUCCGGAAUUAUUGGGCGUAAAGCGUCCGCAGGUGGCUAUGUAAGUCUGCUGUUAAAGAGUGAGGCUCAACCUCAUAAAAGCAGUGGAAACUACAUGGCUAGAGUGCGUUCGGGGCAGAGGGAAUUCCUGGUGUAGCGGUGAAAUGCGUAGAGAUCAGGAAGAACACCGGUGGCGAAGGCGGCUUCCUGGACCGACACUGACGCUGAGGCGCGAAAGCUAGGGGAGCAAACGGG